rnacentral:rRNA from 1 species
AUUGAACGCUGGCGGAAUGCUUUACACAUGCAAGUCGAACGGCAGCACGGACUUCGGUCUGGUGGCGAGUGGCGAACGGGUGAGUAAUGUAUCGGAACGUGCCCAGUCGUGGGGGAUAACGUAGUGAAAAUUACGCUAAUACCGCAUACGAUCUAUGGAUGAAAGCGGGGGAUCGCAAGACCUCGCGCGAUUGGAGCGGCCGAUAUCAGAUUAGGUAGUUGGUGGGGUAAAGGCCCACUAAGCCAACGAUCUGUAGCUGGUCUGAGAGGACGGCCGCGCACACUGGAACUGGGACACGGUCCAGACUCCUACUGGAGGCAGCAGUGGGGAAUGUUGGACAAUGGGCGAAAGCCCGAUCCAGCCAUUCCGCGUGCAGGAUGAAGGCCCUCGGGUUGUAAACUGCUUUUGUACAGAACGAAAAGGUUUCUACUAAUACUAGGAGCUCAUGACGGUACUGUAAGAAUAAGCACCGGCUAACUACGUGCCAGCCGCCGCGGUAA